GAGAGAGACAUAGUGGUUAUGAUGCUGGCUUGAAACCAAUUCUAGAGGGUUCGAUUCCUUCCUUUCUUA
rnacentral:tRNA from 1 species